UCCAAAUGACAGUGGGUAUCAGUGAA
rnacentral:piRNA from 1 species